ensembl:snoRNA
AUCCUUUUGUAGUUCAUAAGCAUGAUGACUGGGUGUUCACGCUCCUAUGUCACGUGUGGUACCCUCAAACCUUGUUACAACCUUGGCACAUUACCCAUCUGAUG